AUCGACUUUAUACUUAAACAUAAGGUUGUGGAAUUCUUGCAAAUUAACUGCCGCACUGUGUUGCGGCUAGUGGAAAAGUAACUUUUCUCCGAUUAUUUUUUUCAGUGUUUUUAAUGAUGCAAUUUUGUCACAGACAUUCCAAGUAAACAAAAAACACAUAAAGCUUAUUUUUAUGUUGGCCCGUUGAUUUUUAAUUGAUUUUAGAAAUCAAAUAUACAAAAUUUUCACGAAAAGAGGGGAUUUCAGGGCUGUAUUCAAAAUGAUCUCAUUUGAUUUUGGUGACAGAUAUUUUGAUUCGGAAAAAAAAUAUGCCUUCGGACAAGUAUCUUCUGUAAAAUAAAGGAAUGUUGUUUGAGACAUUUUCAUAUGCACCUUUUUUAGAGCGAAAACCCGUCUAAAGAUCCAUUUUUCCUUUAAAUUUGGGUUAGAUAAGCAAUAUCUAAAAAGUCCCAGAGAGUCCCAGUUCCAAACUACUACAGAAAUGUUACAUAAUUUGUUUUCAACGAACUGUGAAAAAAUCAGCUGCCCAUACUUGCCCUCCUGGGAGUUAUAGCGAUUUUAGUAUAUCACUCUCAGUAUUUAUUUCAUAGAAAUAGAACGGAAAUUCUCGGAAUAACUUAUUGAAUAAUUUAAUCAUAUUGGUUUUUGGGUGACUUUCCGUCAUCCCACGUCAAAUUUUUAUUAUUUUCAGACCGGUUUCGGCUAAUCGCCAUCUUUUCUUUUUUGUCACUAAUUAGUCCGCAUGCGUGUCCAUCUUUAUAUAGUGUUUUCUUUUAGCUUGUGGUGGUACCUUUCUCUCUCUCUGUUGUUUUACUAUUUUAUUCUUUCUCUUUCGCUCUCUCUUUCUCCCCCUUUGUUUUUAUAUAACUUCUGGAUAUAAGAUAGACUGCGAUAAGUUCUCUAAGUACGGAAAAGAAACUGCUGGUCUCUAUGUAAAGAAAUAUUCGUGGCAUUAUAUGCCACCAACUGUCCACAAGAUUCUUAUUCAUGGAGCUGAAACAAUUCGUUAAUUUUUGGUCCCCAUUGGGCAACUAUCAGAAGAAGCAUUGGAAGCAGGAAACAAGGACUUCAGAAACACAAGGCUUUACCAUGCGAGGAAAACAUCAAGAAAAGACAAUUGUGAAAACAUAUUACAUUAUCUGCUCGCCAAUUCUGAUCCCGCAAUCACAAGUAGGAGAAUACUGAAGGAGAAGAAACACCUGAAAUUAUCAGAGGAAGCAAUGAACUUAUUGGUAGAUGACUGAUAAUUUGUAAUUUUUCUGUAGAAUGCAAUAAAAUGUGCCUGUGUUAUAAAAUAGUAUCUUCAAUUUUUUUUUAUUCUACAUCUAUUCUAGCACUCCACAAAAAUGAGCAUAACUCUCUUAAAACUGAAGCUAUUGACUUCAAACCGGUAUCAAAUUAAAGCUUUUAUUGCCACCUUUCAAAUAAGAAAUGAAAUAGAUUUUGGUUUUAUAUAAAAUUUCAGAGUUUUUCAACAAAUAUCAAAAAAUCAUAAAAAUUUUACAUUUAUAAUUCUUGUUCGGACUACCCUAUACUUUAUUUAAAAAACUAAUCAUAGAGUAUUUAUCAGAAAUAAAAGAAGAAUUAAAAUAAAUUUUUUUUGUAAAUUUUUCGAACAACUUUUUUUUUUUUGACCUUUGUUGAAAAUUUGACCCAACAAUUUUUUUCGGUGUAAAUUUUUUUUUCACUCAUUCUGUUUGGCAUUUCAUUCUGACCAAUCUGUAGAAGUUUCUCAUCGAUACAAUUAAAAUUAUAGUUUAGGCAAUAUGAUUUCCAAAAAAUUCCAGUUUCGCAACACUGUGUGCCGUUAUGGAUUUAUGUCCACUUCAGUGCGAUAAAGAAGGUUAAUUAACUUAAAUAUGUGAAUUUAAUGAUUUGAAGCAUCUCAUUAUCGAUUGAUUAAUGUGUAUAUACAAGAAAAUCGACUUUAUACUUAAACAUAAGGUUGUGGAAUUAUUGAAAAUUCACUGCCGUUAUGGAUUUAUGUCCACUCCAGUGAGAUGAAGAAGGUUAAUUAACUUAAAUAUGUGAAUUUUAUGAUUUGAAGCAUCUCAUUAUCGAUUGAUAAAUGUGUAUAUACAAGAAAAUCGACUUUAUACUUAAACAUAAGGUUGUGGAAUUAUUGAAAAUUCACUGCCGUUAUGGAUUUAUGUCCACUCCAGUCAGAUGAAGAAGGUUAAUUAACUUAAAUAUGUGAAUUUUAUGAUUUGAAGCAUCUCAUUAUCGAUUGAUAAAUGUGUUUAUACAAGAAAAUCGUCGUUGUACUUAAACAUACGGUUGUGGAAUUCUUGCAAAUUUACUGCCGUUAUGGAUUUAUGUCCACUCCAGUGAGAUGAAGAAGGUUAAUUAACUUAAAUAUGUGAAUUUAAUGAUUUGAAGCAUCUCAUUAUCGAUUGAUAAAUGUGUAUAUACAAGAAAAUCGACUUUAUACUUAAACAUAAGGUUGUGGAAUUAUUGAAAAUUCACUGCCGUUAUGGAUUUAUGUCCACUCCAGUCAGAUGAAGAAGGUUAAUUAACUUAAAUAUGUGAAUUUUAUGAUUUGAAGCAUCUCAUUAUCGAUUGAUAAAUGUGUUUAUACAAGAAAAUCGUCGUUGUACUUAAACAUACGGUUGUGGAAUUAUUGAAAAUUCACUGCCGUUAUGGAUUUAUGUCCACUCCAGUGAGAUGAAGAAGGUUAAUUAACUUAAAUAUGUGAAUUUAAUGAUUUGAAGCAUCUCAUUAUCGAUUCAUAAAUGUGUAUAUACAAGAAAAUCGACUUUAUACUUAAACAUAAGGUUGUGGAAUUCUUGCAAAUUCACUGCCGUUCUGGCUUUAUGACCACUUCAGUGAGAUAAAGAAGGUUAAUUAACUUAAAUAUGUGAAUUUUAUGAUUUGAAGCAACUCAUUAUCGAUUGAUAAAUGUGUAUAUACAAAAAAAUCGUCGUUGUACUUAAACAUAAGGUUGUGGAAUUCUUGCAAAUUCACUGCCGUUAUGGAUUUAUGUCCACUCGAGUAAGAUGAAGAAGGUUAAUUAACGUAAAUAUGUGAAUAUAAUGAUUUGAAGCAACUUAUUAUCGACUGAUAAAUGUGUAUAUACAAGAAAAUCGUCGUUGUGCUUAAACAUAAGGUUGUGGAAUUCUUGCAAAUUCACUUCCGUUAUCGCUUUAUGUCCACUUCAGUGAGAUGAAGAAGGGUAACUAACUUAAAUAUGUGAAUCUUGUGAUUUGAAGCAUCUCAUUAUCGAUUGAUAAAUGUGUUUAUACAAAAAAAUCGUCUUUAUGCUUAAAUAUAAGAUAACGGAAUUCUUCCAAAUUCACUGCCGUUAUGGCUUUAUGUCCACUCCAGUGAGAUGAAGAAGGUUAAUUAACUUAAAUAUGUGAAUAUAGCGAUUUGAAGCAACUCAUUAUCGAUUGAUAAAUGUGUAUAUACAAGAAAAUCGACUUUAUACUUAAACAUAAGGUUGUGGAAUUAUUGAAAAUUCACUGCCGUUAUGGAUUUAUGUCCACUCCAGUCAGAUGAAGAAGGUUAAUUAACUUAAAUAUGUGAAUUUUAUGAUUUGAAGCAUCUCAUUAUCGAUUGAUAAAUGUGUUUAUACAAGAAAAUCGUCGUUGUACUUAAACAUACGGUUGUGGAAUUCUUGCAAAUUUACUGCCGUUAUGGAUUUAUGUCCACUUCAGUGCGAUGAAGAAGGUUUAUUAACUUAAAUAUGUGAAUUUAAUGAUUUGAAGCAACUUAUUAUCGAUUGAUAAAUGUGUUUAUACAAGAAAAUCGACUUUAUACUUAAACAUAAGGUUGUGGAAUUAUUGAAAAUUCACUGCCGUUAUGGAUUUAUGUCCACUCCAGUCAGAUGAAGAAGGUUAAUUAACUUAAAUAUGUGAAUUUUAUGAUUUGAAGCAUCUCAUUAUCGAUUGAUAAAUGUGUAUAUACAAGAAAAUCGACUUUAUACUUAAAUAUUAGGUUGUGGAAUUCUUGCAAAUUAACUGCCGUUAUGGAUUUAUGUACACUCGAGUAAGAUGAAGAAGGUUAAUUAACUUAAAUAUGUGAAUAUAAUGAUUUGAAGCAACUUAUUAUCGACUGAUAAAUGUGUAUAUACAAGAAAAUCGUCUUUAUACUUAAAUAUAAGAUAACGGAAUUCUUCCAAAUUCACUGCCGUUAUGGCUUUAAGUCCACUCCAGUGAGAUGAAGAAGGUUAAUUAACUUAAAUAUGUGAAUUUAACGAUUUGAAGCAACUCAUUAUCGAUUGAUAAAUGUGUAUAUACAAGAAAAUCGACUUUAUACUUAAAUAUUAGGUUGUGGAAUUCUUGCAAAUUAACUGCCGUUAUGGAUUUUUGUCCACUUCAGUGAGAUGAAGAAGGUUAAUUAACUUAAAUAUGUGAAUUUUAUGAUUUGAAGCAUCUCAUUAUCGAUUGAUAAAUGUGUAUAUACAAGAAAAUCGUCGUUGUACUUAAACAUAAGGUUGUGGAAUUCUUGCAAAUUCACUGCCGUUAUGGCUUUAUGUCCACUCCAGUGAGAUGAAGAAGGUUAAUUAACUUAAAUAUGUGAAUAUAAUGAUUUGAAGCAACUUAUUAUCGACUGAUAAAUGUGUAUAUACAAGAAAAUCGUCUUUAUACUUAAAUAUAAGAUAACGGAAUUCUUCCAAAUUCACUGCCGUUAUGGCUUUAAGUCCACUCCAGUGAGAUGAAGAAGGUUAAUUAACUUAAAUAUGUGAAUUUAGCGAUUUGAAGCAACUCGUUAUCGAUUGAUAAAUGUGUAUAUACAAGAAAAUCGACUUUAUACUUAAAUAUUAGGUUGUGGAAUUCUUGCAAAUUAACUGCCGUUAUGAAUUUUUGUCCACUUCAGUGCGAUGAAGAAGGUUUAUUAACUUAAAUAUGUGAAUUUAAUGAUUUGAAGCAUCUCAUUAUCGAUUGAUUAAUGUCUAUAUACAAGAAAAUCGACUUUAUACUUAAACAUGGGGUUGUGGAAUUAUUGCAAAUUAACUGCCCUUAUGGCUUUAUGUCCACUCCAGUGAGAUGAAGAAGGUUAAUUAACUUAAAUAUGUGAAUUUAAUGAUUUGAAGCAUCUCAUUAUCGAUUGAUUAAUGUCUAUAUACAAGAAAAUCGAUUUUAUACUUAAACAUGGGGUUGUGGAAUUAUUGCAAAUUAACUGCCGUUAUGGAUUUAUGUCCACUUCAGUGCGAUGAAGAAGGUUUAUUAACUUAAAUAUGUGAAUUUAAUGAUUUGAAGCAUCUCAUUAUCGAUUGAUAAAUGUGUAUAUACAAGAAAAUCGUCGUUGUACUUAAACAUAAGGUUGUGGAAUUCUUGCAAAUUCACGGCCGUUAUGGCUUUAUGUCCACUUCAGUGAGAUAAAGAAGGUUUAUUAACUUAAAUAUGUGAAUUUUAUGAUUUGAAGCAACUCAUUAUCGAUUGAUAAAUGUGUAUAUACAAGAAAAUCGACUUUAUACUUUUAUAUUAGGUUGUGGAAUUCUUGCAAAUUCACUGCCGUUAUGGCUUUAUGUCCACUCCAGUGAGAUGAAGAAGGUUAAUUAACUUAAAUAUGUGAAUUUAAUGAUUUGAAGCAUCUCAUUAUCGAUUGAUUAAUGUGUAUAUACAAGAAAAUCGUCGUUGUACUUAAACAUAAGGUUGUCGAAUUCUUGCAAAUUCACUGCCGUUAUGGCUUUAUGUCCACUCCAGUGAGAUGAAGAAGGUUAAUUAACUUAAAUAUGUGAAUUUAAUGAUUUGAAGCAUCUCAUUAUCGAUUGAUAAAUGUGUUUAUACAAGAAAAUCGUCGUUGUACUUAAACAUACGGUUUUGGAAUUCUUGCAAAUUUACUGCCGUUAUUGAUUUAUGUCCACUUCAGUGCGAUGAAGAAGGUUUAUUAACUUAAAUAUGUGAAUUUAAUGAUUUGAAGCAUCUCAUUAUCGAUUCAUUAAUGUGUAUAUACAAGAAAAUCGACUUUAUACUUAAACAUAAGGUUGUGGAAUUCUUGCAAAUUCACUGCCGUUCUGGCUUUAUGACCACUUCAGUGAGAUAAAGAAGGUUAAUUAACUUAAAUAUGUGAAUUUUAUGAUUUGAAGCAACUCAUUAUCGAUUGAUAAAUGUGUAUAUACAAUAAAAUCGACUUCAUACUUAAAUAAUAGGUUGUGGAGUUCUUGCAAAUUAACUGCCGUUAUUGAUUUAUGUCCACUUCAGUGCGAUGAAGAAGGUUAAUCAACUUAAAUAUGUGAAUUUAAUGAUUUGAAGCAUCUCAUUAUCGAUUGAUAAAUGUGUAUAUACAAGAAAAUCGUCGUUGUACUUAAACAUAAGGUUGUGGAAUUCUUGCAAAUUCACGGCCGUUAUGGCUUUAUGUCCACUUCAGUGAGAUAAAGAAGGUUUAUUAACUUAAAUAUGUGAAUUUUAUGAUUUGAAGCAACUCAUUAUCGAUUGAUAAAUGUGUAUAUACAAGAAAAUCGACUUUAUACUUUUAUAUUAGGUUGUGGAAUUCUUGCAAAUUUACUGCCGUUAUGGCUUUAUGUCCACUCCAGUGAGAUGAAGAAGGUUAAUUAACUUAAAUAUGUGAAUUUAAUGAUUUGAAGCAUCUCAUUACCGAUUGAUUAGUGUGUAUAUACAAGAAAAUCGUCGUUGUUCUUAAACAUAAGGUUGUCGAAUUCUUGCAAAUUCACUGCCGUUAUGGCUUUAUGUCCACUCCAGUGAGAUGAAGAAGGCUAAUUAAUUUAAAUAUGUGAAUUUAAUGAUUUGAAGCAUCUCAUUAUCGAUUGAUUAAUGUGUAUAUACAAGAAAAUCGUCGUUGUACUUAAACAUAAGGUUGUCGAAUUCUUGCAAAUUUACUGGCGUUAUUGAUUUAUGUCCACUUCAGUGCGAUGAAGAAGGUUUAUUAACUUAAAUAUGUGAAUUUAAUGAUUUGAAGCAUCUCAUUAUCGAUUCAUUAAUGUGUAUAUACAAGAAAAUCGACUUUAUACUUAAACAUAAGGUUGUGGAAUUCUUGCAAAUUCACUUUUGCCGUUCUGGCUUUAUGACCACUUCAGUGAGACAAAGAAGGUUAAUUAACUUAAAUAUGUGACUUUUAUGAUUUGAAGCAACUCAUUAUCGAUUGAUAAAUGUGUAUAUUCAAAACAAGAAAUGCGCUGUCGUGGGACACCAGGCAGGAACGAAGUUCCUUCGGAUAAUGUAGAAUCGAUACAAUUUGCAAAAAUACUAAUACCUUUCACUUCAAUGAAAUUUUAAUAUUUUGUUCAAACUGAAAUUUUGUUAUGCAAAAAAUAAGUAAAAAUUGGUAAAUUUGUUUUUGUUUUAAGUUAUCAAUUGUUAUUACAAAUGAUAUAAUAGAGCUAUAAUAGAGCUAUUUUAUGCUUUUAUUUGUAAA